GACGAACGCUGGCGGCGUGCCUAAUACAUGCAAGUUGAGCGAUGAAGAUUGGUGCUUGCACCAAUUUGCAGAGCAGCGAACGGGUGAGUAACGCGUGGGGAAUCUGCCUUUGAGCGGGGGACAACAUUUGGAAACGAAUGCUAAUACCGCAUAACAACUUUAAACAUAAGUUUUAAGUUUGAAAGAUGCAAUUGCAUCACUCAAAGAUGAUCCCGCGUUGUAUUAGCUAGUUGGUGAGGUAAAGGCUCACCAAGGCGAUGAUACAUAGCCGACCUGAGAGGGUGAUCGGCCACAUUGGGACUGAGACACGGCCCAAACUCCUACGGGAGGCAGCAGUAGGGAAUCUUCGGCAAUGGACGAAAGUCUGACCGAGCAACGCCGCGGGAGUGAAGAAGGGUGUCGGAUCGUAAAACUCUGUUGGUAGAGAAGAACGUUGGUGAGAGUGGAAAGCUCAUCAAGUGACGGUAACUACCCAGAAAGGGACGGCUAACUACGUG
rnacentral:rRNA from 1 species